UACGUAGGGUGCAAGCGUUAUCCGGAAUUAUUGGGCGUAAAGAGCUCGUAGGCGGUUUGUCGCGUCUGCUGUGAAAACUGGAGGCUCAACCUCCAGCCUGCAGUGGGUACGGGCAGACUAGAGUGCGGUAGGGGAGAUUGGAAUUCCUGGUGUAGCGGUGGAAUGCGCAGAUAUCAGGAGGAACACCAAUAGCGAAGGCAGCUCGCUGGGACGUUACUGACACUGAGGCGCGAAAGCGUGGGGAG
rnacentral:rRNA from 1 species